rnacentral:rRNA from 1 species
UACGUAGGGACCAAGCGUUGUCCGGAAUUACUGGGCGUAAAGCGUGCGCAGGCGGUUUUGUAAGCCAGGUGUGAAAUCCCCGGGCUCAACCUGGGAAUGGCAUUUGGGACUGCAAGGCUGGAGUGCGGCAGAGGAGACUGGAAUUCCUGGUGUAGCAGUGAAAUGCGUAGAUAUCAGGAGGAAUACCGAUGGCGAAGGCAGGUCUCUGGGCUGACACUGACGCUCAUGCACGAAAGCGUGGGGAGCAAACAGG